UUAUAAACCCACAUACACAAACACUACACUUAUUAAAUUAAGAUUCCGGAGUUCACCAAUGGGACAUCAAGAUCAACAAGCAUCGCAGAAGUUCCUCGAGCUCUAACAAUUAAUCGAAAACGGUUGAGGUAUGAUAGGAUUUGUGAGGUGAAAGGUGAAACUUGAUUCAAAUGGAUUGAUAAUCUGAUAAUUGAAAAAUCGAUGGCAGCAGUGCAGCAAUAACUUUGUGUGGAGGAAAGAUAUAUCUGUUCAAUCAAAAUAAAUGUGAAUGGAACCGAAUACUUUAUGAACGAUUAACUCAUGAGACGAAGGAUGAAACAUGAUCUGAACAUCAGAUAUAGAUCAAAACAAUUGGAUACUAUACAAUCGCUACUCGUUACAAUUGGAUGAAACCGCAUAAUCACAUUUUAAUGCUGAUCAAAACAAAUGAAUGGAACUGCAAUUCGCUACAAAUUAAAAACAACCGAAUGGAUAGCACAGUGUAUUCACACAUAAAGGAUUGACGCAAAUCUCCACACAAUUUCUUCAAAUAUGCUGGAAAAGAAACGACAUAGACAGAAUGGUAUCAGAUUAAGUUGGCAAGAAUCAUUUUCACUGAAAACCAAGCAAUGACUUGAUUAUUUUAAACCGUAAGAUUGAUAUUGAAGAGUGGAUAUGACAACAAUAUAAUUUGUUUUUUCAACACGGAAGGAACGUCAUCAGCCACAACAUCAACAUCAAGGUUGAUAGUUUUUUCAUCAGCCACAACAUCAGCGAGAUCAUCAAUUAAUAAUCAUCAUCAUCGAACAGAAUCAAUUGUAAUAACAAUCAAAAUUAAGUUAAAUAUUAAGUCUAACCAAUUUCCAACAUAUAGCUGACAGUAGAUGAUCGUCUUUAGCAGACGAACAUCUAGCUCGUAAGUGUGGGGAUAUGAAGCGACCCUCGCCUUACCAGAAAAAUUCACAGUAGAUUUUCUCUGUUAAAAACGAAAAUAUUAGGAAAAGGCGAAUCAGGAGAGUUGUAAGAAAAAGGAAGACAAAUAAAAAUCAAUUAGGAGCGUAGGACGGGAAAACCCGACAACACUUUUAUGACCCACUUAAGUGGCACGCGCAGAACGGUGCCCGACGAGAAACAAACAAAUAACAAUAUCUGUGAAAAAAGGACAGGCACGACUGGAAAAUAAAUAAAGAUUACAUUAUCUAUGGGUUAAGUCAUAAAAGGACAGCGACUAAUUUCUGAGAAAAAAAUCUGAGAAUUAGAGCGCGGUGGAAAGAAAUAGAACAUUUAUAUUAGGAAUUUAAGAGUGAGAGAAAUAAAAUAGGCCAGGAUAUUAUGUAUAACUUGGAAGGAUUUUUAGAGUGGGGGGAAAAAUAAAUAAAAAUAAAAAAAAAGAGAGUUAUAUAUUGUUGAAUUCUGGGAAAAAGAGAGAAUUAAGGAAACUUUUCAUUAUAUCAAGAAAAAUACAGGUUGGAGUGGGGGUUGUAAAUGAGACAAAAAUAUAUUAUAUAAGUUAGAGGAAGAAUUUUUGGAGUGAAACCGAAAAGGACGGAUAUAUUAUGCAACAUCAAAAACUAGAGUGGGGGUAAAAAUAUAAGAUAUUAAAUAAUUAAAUAAAUAACUAGAUUUAGUAUAAAAACCCAAGCUGAAAUCAAAUAAAGUCAGUCAGUAAAUGAGACAGUGAAA
rnacentral:lncRNA from 1 species